rnacentral:rRNA from 1 species
UACAGAGACUGCAAGCGUUAUUCGGAUUCACUGGGCGUAAAGGGUGCGCAGGCGGUCGGGUGUGUCAGAUGUGAAAUCCCGAGGCUCAACCUCGGAACCGCGUCUGAAACUACUCGACUAGAGUACUGGAGAGGGUAACGGAAUUCACGGUGUAGCAGUGAAAUGCGUAGAUAUCGUGAGGAACACCAGAGGCGAAGGCGGUUACCUGGACAGUUACUGACGCUCAGGCACGAAAGCAUGGGGAGCAAAAGGG